UCAUGUGUUGAAUACUUUACAACAAAAUGAAAAAAACUGAUUUUUUUUUUUAAAUUGGCCGGGCACUGUGGCUCAUGCCUGUAAUCCCAGCACUUUGGGAGGCCAAGGCAAGCGGAUCAUGAGGUCAAGGGAUCGAGAUCAUCUGGCCAACAUGGUGAAACCCCAUCUUUACUAAAAAAUACAAAAAUUAGCUGGCUGUGGUGGUGCACGCCUGUGGUACCAGCUACUCAGGAGGCUGAGGCAGAAGUAUUGCUUGAACCUGGGAGGCAGAGGUUGCAGUGAAUCGAGAUCAUGCCACUACACUCCAGCCUGGCACCUGGUAACCAAGUGAGACUCUAUAUAAAAAAAAAAAAUUAAAUUAUGAGUGACUGUUUCAACUACUGGUAUCAAGUAUGAUCAAGAAAUCUCUGCCAACCAGCCUAAACAAUUAUUCAACAUCACCUCCACCUAAAUAAAAUUCAAGUCUCUCUUGUGCACCAGCAUGUCUCAUUGUUCCCACUGCUUGGGGGUGCUCAGAUAUCUCAACCUAGCUGUCAAAAUUCUUCCAAAUCUAACUAACCAACAUCUAGCUUAUCCAAACCACUUGUCUGCUUUGCCCACAUAAAACUUACCAUGUCACAAACUUGGAAUGUUUAUUCUCUUUUUUUUUUUUUCUGUCACCAGGCUGGAGUGCAGUGGCACAAUCUCAGCUCAUUGCAACCUCUGUCUCCCGGGUUUAAGCAAUUUUCCCCCCUCAGCCUCCUGAGUAGCUGGGACUACAGGCAUGUGCCACCAUGCCCAGCUAAUUUUUGUAUUUUUAGUAGAGACAGGGUUUCACCAUGUUGGCCAGGAUGGUCUCAAUCUCUUGACCUGGUUAUCUGCCUGCCUUGGCCUUCCAAAGUGCUGGGAUUACAGGCAUGAGCUACCACGCCCCGCCGGAAUGUUCAUUCUCAAAUAGCUUAAACAAUUCCCUUACCUAAAGUGCUCAGUGUUUUUCCUCCUCCUUUUCAAGUCUCACUACCCACGAACAACAGCUCUCACUUCGCCUACUCCAGGAAGCCUCCCCUGACUACUUUCCCUCAUUGAUUUUUUCCCCAUGAAUAAUUUGUUUGAAUGGAAUGCUGAAUUAUGACUCUUCGUUGGUCACCAUCUUGUAUCAUGAUGAACCUGUUGCGUGUACAUUUGUUUUGUCCAUUAAAUUGUGUCUUCUUUAUCUUACUUCAUUAUGGUUCUUGUAGGUCAGGUUCCCUAGGACACGGACACUGAGAUGGGGACUGGUGUGCAGGAAAUGAAGGAAGAUUUGGGCCAAGGGGGAAGCUGAGGCAUGACAGUUUCAACAAAAGUCACAGCUGACCCUACUGGGCAGUCCUGAAGCUGAUCAGACCCUUCUGAGCCUCAAGUUGGGGCUGGGGCCUUGGACUUUAUACCCUGUGUUGAUUAUGGCUGAGGGCUGCUUCUGGAACAGGCAGUGGCCUUGCUUGAGGUGAUUCCAGAAGAGGAUGUGUGAUAGUGUAAAGGCUGUUUGUGGAAGCUUUCUCAGCAGCUAAGAAGUCUCAGGCACAUGUUUAUCAGCGGUGUGAAAAUGAACUAAUACAGAGAGGGAGGGACAAGUCAGUCCUUCAGUCCUGAAAGGGGGAUUUUGGUGUCAACUAUGAUGGCCUAAAAAAAAAGAGAAGAAAAGGAGAGGAGGAGAAUGGAGGAAGAAGAGGAAAGAAGGGAAAACGUCCAUCGCACUUGCUCGUCAGGUCUCUUUGGAACAGAAUGUGCCAAGGCAGUCACUCCCUAUAGGAGAGAGGUGAGCUACAAGAAGGCCAUGGAACGAAGUACAGAGCAAUGAAGCCUCCUGCCCACAGUGACUGCACCAGUGACCUGGUGGUGACAAGGCUGGCAUUUGCACCUGCUGGGCUCCAGAACUGCCCUUCUUUCUUCACUCAGUGACAGCAAACCAAGCCUUGUGUCACAUCAUUGCUGGGUAUGUGGAGAUGCUGAAAGAACAAUGGGAGCAAAAAGAACAAGAACCUUGAAAGUCUUCUGUUUUCUCUUUAACCCUUAGAGACCAAAAGAAAUUUUCACUGUAGGAAAAUAAUCCAUUGCACAAACUGUAUUUUUAAAGGUGAAAGUUGGCUAGGUGUGGUGGCUCAAACCUGUAAUCCCAGCACUUUGGGAGUCUGAGGCAGGUGGAUCACCUGAAGUCAGGAUUUUGAGACCAGCCUGGCCAACAUGAUGAAACCCUGUCUGUACUAAAAAUACAAAAAUUAGCCUGUCAUGGUGGCACAUGCCUGUAUUCCCAACUAUUCAGGAGGCUGAGGCAGGAGAAUCACUUGAACCCAGGAGGCGGAAGUCGCAGUGAGCUGAGAUCAUCGCCAUUGAACUACAGUCUGAGCAACAAGAGCAAAAGUCUGUCUCAAAAAAAAAAAAAAAAAAGUGAAAGCUAAGUUUGCCUAGAGGAAGGGGAUCCAGAGACUGGAUUUCUGUAAAGUCCAGAAAAAAAGUUCAGAUUUUGUAAGAUAAAAAGCAUGUGCCUGGAAUGUGCUGGAAUCAGAAAUUACAAACAUUAAAGAAACUCUGAGGAGGAGGCAUGGUAACGACUCUCUCCUACCACCCAUAGGAAAUCAAAUUUUAGCAAAAAGAAAGAUCAAUACAGAAGAGAAGCCGCGCAGGUAGAAAAAGCAAGGGAGCACUGACGGAACCCGGGCAACUUGAAAGUACUACUCCCUCUGUCCAGAUUCUGAAGUUCAUUUACCGCUGCCAGUCAGCACACGAGGGAAACAGGAACCACCAGGGCCUUUCUCUGCAGCUGGAGAAUUUAAUUCAUUUCAGAAACUUCCUGGAGAGGAAUGAAAUGCAAGGGCUUCCAGAAAUCAGAAUACCUUCUGCCCCAGGAUCUUGGGCAGAAUUGGCAUUUUCAUCACAGAACCUGAACUAAGAUAGUGAGUGAGGGAUUUUUCUUAGAAAUUAUACUUAAACUCAUGCAUUUUUCAAAAUAUUUCAUGCUUUUCUCUAAAACCUUAUGGCUAUCAUUCACUGAAAGGCAAAACAUGAGUAAGAUAUUUCUUUAUGGCUCUCUAUAUUCAUCCUAUUUAUCUAGAUAUUAAACAAGUAUCAUCUUGUCUUGAUUUAUAUUUCUAAUCUAUAUUUCUCUUAAUUGGCAUUCCAAAUUAUGAGCCUUGGGGUACUUUUAGUCAUUUUGUUUUUAAAGCACUUUUUAAUCUUGCUUCUCUGUAGUUAGAAAUUGCAACUACUGGUUAUUCUAGGGCUGAUGGUUCAGUUACAGGAUCUGGGGCUAAGUCGCCUGGUUCUGGCUACCCUGAACUUCAGGCAGCUCUGAAUAAGGGAGUAAAUCAGCUUCCAGAGGGCUAAUUUCCGACCUCAUUAUAGCCCUCCUGGCCAAUUUUGCCUUCUGGUGAGCAGCUUCAAAUGCAGAAAAGAUCAGCUGAGAUACAUACUCUCCUCCAGGUGCUCCCUCUCCUUCCCCACCCUAUCCUGCUUCCAUCCCCUCAACCCUCCUAAUGGAGGAGGGAGGAGAGCACAGCAGCGGGAAAGAUAAGCCAGUGAGAACUUCAAACCCAGCAGAGCCCCGCCCCUGGGGUGUGACCCAUUUGUGCAGGAUUCUUGCAGUUAUUGGGUGGUCUUUAUUAUCAUUGUUGACUAUGGGAAUCUUUUCAUUCUUGGCCCAGAGUCUUUGCUAGAGGUCUUUACAUGAGAAAGGGGGCAUUUUUCAGAGCUGAGAUUUGAAUGCAUGGAAAUUAAAAAAAAACACCUUUGGUCAUGUGAAAAGAAAGCAGCUGGAGAGGUGGUGGGGGAAAGAGCCCAUCUGCUAAUUAAAACUCCAAGAGUAGUAGGAGGAACAAUUACUCUAAGGCACUAUCUCUCCCCACGUUCCUGCAAACAAAUUAGCUUCAACACCCACACACAGUAGGAAAACAAAUGCCAAUUAUGCCUAGAUGUUUCCCUGAACCUGUUUUCUCUUCGCUAUUUCCAUCUGAUCCUUAACACUUUUUUGAUAGUGGGUUGGAGAUAAGCCCAUUGCUUAUCUGGACAAAUGAUUUCCAUCCACUUUUAUUCCAAAGCAAAUCCACAGCAGUGAGGGGGCUGGGACCAACAUUAAGCCCAGAUCUGUUUCUGCACGUAGAACAAAACUCUUCAUUUUGGUUGAGUACCAACAAUAGUAGUUUAUAACACAGGAGAGGACCUUUAAUUAUUAAAUUUCAGUGUAAAACAUAAUCAAACGUGAAAACGGUUUUAUGAAGGCAGAUGGCAUUAUGGCACAUAUUAACGUAUAGAGGAUGCACAUCCAUUUAUUUACAACUGAGAUAUAAUUGUAAAUAAUUACUCAGUUAUUAUUGGCUGAAACUAGAUUAAAUGAUUUUGGUUUUUUGCUUGGUUGCUUCCCAAGUUAUGGCAAGUAUGCACUUAUGAAUAAAGUUGCUAUAAACAACGAUGUGCAGGAUUUUUGGUGCAUAUAACUUCAUUUUUCUCCAUAUGAUUUUCUAAAAUCUUGUUGGAGACAAGCAGUGGGUGAGAAAGAAAGACGGCUAAAGUUGCAGACACUUUUUUGGUUUCUCUGGAGGCAGAGAUCUGAAUUUCACCUUUGAUGUCAAGCAGUUUCUUUGUCUAAGCCUUUCAGUAAUGCCAAGGUAAAGCAGCAAUCCCUUCUGGAACAGAGAGGUUUGGGAGCAACAGGGAGGGAAACUGGGCUGCUUGACCCCAUAAAAGAGCAUUUCCCUGUAUGUGGCAUGCUUCUCUGCUCAUCACGUUUCCUUUAAGGGAAAAAAAUUUCUCUAAAUGUGGACUUAGACUAUCCCCCCAAAAUUUUACUUGUUCCCCAGAGGUAUGCGUGUGUGUGUGUGUGUGUAGGUGUGCAUGUGUGUUGGUGUGUGUACACAGAUAUUCUUGUUCAGAAACUUACCCGUCUGUGUGGUUAGGAGCAGAAUGAAGCUAUGAUGGGAGGAGGAAGGAAGUGGUGGCAUGUCUUCAUCACAUGCUUUCUUUUCUCCACUUCACACUAGGUAUCCUGGCAGAUUUAAUAACUCUGACUCAGGAAAGGUCCCUCUUUCAGGGGUUUUGCCUUGUCUAGGUAAGGGGAAGGACUAAGGCAAGGCCUUAGAAGGAUUCUUUGUUUCCGAUGGGAAUAGACAUUAUACCAUUCUAGGGUACCAGAUACCCUAGAAAUGGGCUGGAAUGUGAGGUCUCAGGAGUUGAGGCUCAAACUUGAGGGUGGAGAGAAAUCCUCAAGGGCCUUUGUGUUGAGGCUCUGUUUAACCCUUCCAAUACGGUCAUUUGGAACAGCCAUAUCCAGUGUCUGAUGGGUUUCUCUGAUUCCUUGUAAAAAACACAUUGAUUAUCACAUAGGGCACUAAGGCGAGGGCUGGGUCAGUGCUGUAGACCUCUCUCUGGGAAACCACAGGAGGGAAACUUAUCAGGGACACCUGCUCCUCGGUGGGUACCACGGCCUUCGCUCAUCGCCUAGCCUCAACUGUUCUGGUAGAACUAAGACUUCCUGGUUGAACCGGACAUGAAAGAGAGAACAUGCCAGCUAGAGACAUCUGAAUUAUCUAGAUCAAUGGUUCUCAGCAGGGGUGAUUCUGUUCCCAGGAGAUAACUGGUGGGGGCAGGGGUGGCUACUGGCAUCCAGGGAGUAGAGAACAAAGAUGCUGCUAAUCAUCCUGCAACACACUGGAUAGCCCCGACCCCACCCCCAACAAAGAAUUAUUCAGCCCAAAAUCUCAAUAGUGCUAAGGCUGAGAAUUCCUGACCCAGGAGGAGGGAGUAAAAAUAUUUACAUGUUCACAUGUAAAUACAAUAAAAGCUGAAUCUCAAAAGCACUAAUAAUGUUGAUCUAAAAAGAAAAGUUUACCUGGCAAAAAGCAACAUAAGGGAUAUUGAGAGUCUAAUGUGCACCAAGUCCAAGUUCUGUUCCAGUUUCUAGCAACCAGCAAGACAACGUCUCAUUCUCAUGGAAUUGAUGUUGCAGCUGGGAGGGAAGAACCCUGAGAUAUCAUAUACAUUUCAGAUCUUAAUUAUAAUAACAGCCCGUGGGAAGUGAUUUAUUUAAUCCUCCCAGCAACCCUAUGACAUAUGUGCUAUUAUAAUCUCCAUUUUAUAAGACACCGAGGCAGAGGUAAGUGGCUUGUCCAAGGUCCACAACCGAUAGACCCCGUCUGGUUGCUUCACAGCAUUUAAAGUCCCUCUUAUGGUCAGAUGGACUUCAAUUAACUAGCUACAUGAUGUGGGUGGUAUGACUUAAUUUCUCUUGAUUCUUCCUUAAUUCCUCUUGAUUCUUCCUUCAUGUGUGGCAUGGAGGUAACAAAAGUAUCUCAUAAGAGUGUGUAAAAACUGAGUAACUUGAUUUACAGAGAGUGCUUAGAACAAUGUUUGGCAUACAGUAAGAGCCAAUGGUUUAUCGAAGGAAAUAGAAAGUAGACAGAGAAAGACUGAGAACCCUACUUUAGACCUGUGGUUCCCAAAGCAUGGCCCUUGAAUCAGCAGCACCAGCAUCCCCUGGGUACUUGCUAGAAAUGCAAAUCCUUGGUCCCCAGCCCUUGUAAUGAGAAAAACCCAGAAUCAUACUGAAAAACCAUCCCCCAAACUGGGAGGGAGCACAGAGAACAAAAAGUGACUCAAACAAGUACAGCUUAGCUAGUAGAUGAGUUUAUUAGGAGUUGCAUACAAGAGAUUGCUGGGCAGCAGCAGUGCAGCUCUAGAGAUAUGUGCCAUCUCCCAUCUCUAAGCUGUUUUUAAGCUAAUUUUCUGGCUCCUUGCCGUGUGUGUGUGUGUGUGUGUGUGUGUGUGUGUGUGUGAGAGAGAGAGAGAGAGGAGAAAGAGAGAGAGAGAGAGGAGAAAGAGAGAGAGAGAGAGAGAGACAGAGACAGAGACAGAGACAGAGACAGAGAGAGAGAGAGACAGAGAGAGAGAGAGAGAUGGGACUGUGCCUAGCCUUUAGGGUUCAGGCAGCAGAUACAUACCCUUAAGUAAUCUGAUGGGGAACUCAUCACAUUACAGCCCAGACAUGAUUCUGGGAUGGCUUUGUGAUAUAGCUAACUUAGAGUUGGAACCUGUACAUUGCCAUCUUAUAAAAGACAAAAAUGUUUCCAUUCUCCUCACAAGGACUGCUAACCUUGGUUUCUGUAAACUGCUAGAUUAUUUGCAGGAUGCAAAGAGGUAAAGCUGCAUACCUUCUCUUAUCUGCCAGAAUUGCUGGCCUUUGUUUCCCAGAGUAAGCACCCCCAGAUAAUUCCAUCGUGGCGCCAAGCAACUGAAAAUCUAUGGAUCCCACCCCUACCCAGACGAUGUGUAAACAAAUGCUAAUCUUAGCAUCUUAAAUGACAAUCAGAAUAGUCCCCUGGCCUUCGAAAUGUCCGGAACCCCCUCACCCCCAUCUCCGCCCAGAAGGUGAUCUGAAUCCACUGGCCCUCGGAAUGUCUGAAGCCCCUCACCCCCAAGAUGAUUUUAUGGGUAUAAAAAGGUCUUGUCACCCUUCUUUCUCUGCCACGGGUUGGAGAGACGUGAGUCCUCCAUGGUCGCCGGCAAUAAACCCUGCAAUUUGGCAUACUUUUGUUCUGGUGUUGAGUUUCUGUGCUCAGUUCGUUGCAACAGCUUCAGCAAUCUGCUUUAACAAGCUCCCCAGGUGACUCUGAUGUCUGCUGAAGUUUGAGAACCAAUGAAUUAGACCAUUCUAAGGAGGUGAUGUUUGGGCUGUGAUACAGGAGUUUGUCCAGACGUUAGGAAGACUCCCUAACAUAUUCCCUGACUACAAACCCUUAAAAAGAACCAAAACUCUGUAUAUGUCCUCCCUUCUUUUGUGCUGUUUCCUUAAUUCCACUUGGCUUUAUGCUUGGAUAGCUUCUAAGACCAGAUGUCUUCUCUGAUAUCCUUAAACUCCUUCAACUGUUCUCCACUCUCAGCUGGUUCUUGGUUCUCUUCAUAUCUUUCCUCAUUUGUUCAUUCCUUCAUACGAGUUUAUUAAGCCUAAGCCAGGCCUUGGGUGAGGUGGAAGUGGGGUACAUGGCAGGGAAAGCUAACAGACACUCAGUGCCCCACCAUAUCCUCAGGGAGCCUGCCAUCUAGUAGAGAGGCAGAAAUUCGUCCCUGUGUCAGCACUGGCUUCUGGAGCCAGUCAGAGCAGGGGCACCAGUGAGGACUGAGGUGGGGGCAGAUGUAGGAACCACCUUCUCAGAAGGGGUAACACUUGGUCCCAGCCUUGAUGAGCAAAUAGAAAAAAAAAACCUGAUAAAACAAUAUUAAAAAUCAUCUGGAAGAACACACAAGGGAAAUAAUAUCAAAGAAUGAAUGUUUUUUAAUCACAGCAAAAAAGGUAACCAUGGGAGAUACAUGGAAUUACUAAAGGCAAAGAAUCAGCUGAGUGAAAAUGAUAGAAAUGUUCUACCUACACUUUCUUUAAAAUUAAAAAUUGACAAGCCUGAAGUGAAUGAAUAGCCAUCUGGUCAACACUGGGUACUCCCUGAUUAUUCUUGUGUUUUUGUUUUGCUGUUGUCCUUUCACCUCCAGGCAUUUGCUCAGCCAGGUAUGCCUCCUUCCUCUUCUCCCCACACUUGCUGAUGAAAAUCUUCCCCAUAUUUAAGGUUCGGAUCAAAAGCUGCCUCCCUCAGAGGCUGUCUCUGAUCCUCCUCAUUGGAGGUGAUUUCUUUCCCCAGCAAGGCCAGAAACCCUUGUUGGUACUGCUAAUCAACUGUUAGCACAUUUUGCUGCAUCAUGGUUAUUCGGUAAAUAGAUUUUAUUCUGUGAUAAAUGUAAGAGCCUCUGGGAUCAAGACAGUAUUACACCUGUCUUCGUAUGACAAAGAUGUCUUGCCCUCAGUAAUCAGGCCAUUCCCUGGAUAAGACUGUACACAGCAUACAGCUGAGAAGGCUGAGUCACCAUCUCCUGCACCAACAACACCUCAGGGGGAUCAAAGAAUUACACUUUUAAUCUAGUCAUAAACUUUAAUAACACAAAUGGAGGACAGCAAAGUGAUUUUUAAUUACUGAGUGAGUUGAAGAUAUUAAUGGAGACAAGAAUUAAUGUGUUUUAUUAUGUAAAAAAUUUAUUCAACAAAUGUAAUAAACACAAAGAGUAAUACAGAAAAAUUAUGUGACAAAAAAAGGAUGUAAAUAUGCUCUCUAAAUGCAUUAAAUAUGCUGAUGAAAUGGAUGAAAAUAUGCUCUCUAAAUGCAUUAAAGUUGAUAAAUAGUCAUAAAAUCAGCACUCAUAUUACUUUAUAAAGUAGUUUAAAGUAAAUGAACAGUUUUUACACAAGAAUACAUAAUAAAUAAUACACAAAAUAAAUAAUACAUAAUACACAAGAAUGCAUAAUAAACACCAUAUGGAAAAACGUAGCAUUUUUAUCCAUUAAAAAUGCAAAUCAAGCUGGGUGCAGUGGCUCACACCUAUAAUCCUAGCACUUUGAGAAGCUGAGGCAGGUGGAUCACCUGAGGUGAGGAGGUUGAGAUCAGCCUGUCCAAUGUGUCGAAACCCCAUCUCUACUAAAAAUACAAAAACUAGCCGGACGAGUUGGCACAUGCCUCUAAUCCCAGCUAUUCGGGAAGCUGAAGCAGGAGAAUUGCUUGUACCCAGGUUUCGGGGAGGUUGCAGUGAACCGAGAUCAUGCCAUUGCACUCCAGCCUGGGCAACAAGAGUGAAACUCUGUCUCAAAAAAAAAAAAAAAAAAGAAA